AGCCGGAGGGGCUGCACUGCACCGAGCUUGCACAGGGCGAGGCGGGGGCAGGACCUGGGACCCAGCCACCCCGGAGGAAACCGGAGAGGAAACCAGCUUGGUCUUGCUCUCUGCCUCGUCCCAAUCCCCGGCUCUUACCAAAUGCAGAUCCGUUGGCUGAAUGCCUUUUAGUCUGCAUACAUGCAUCUCAUACCGCACAGCCCAAAUUUCUACAACUUGUCCAGGUGCAGUCUCCUCAGAACUACAAAGCAAGAAAAGAUCACCUUUGGGCUCAGGAACUCACAGUCGUUCUCCCUCUCCCGGAAGGCACAAUGACCAGGACAGUACCGAGCUUUACAGCCAUAUUGAACUCACCAUCAACUCAGCACAUUCAACUCAAUCAGUCAAAAUCGUCUUUUCCUGCUGGUAAAUAACACUGAAAUCUCUGUAGGACAGACAUCAGACAUGGGUCUCACUGGACUCACAUCAAGAUGCCAGCAGGUUGCAUUCCUUUCUGGAAGCUCUAGGUGGAAAAAUGUGUCCCCUUUUUAAGGUCACAGAUGCCUCCCACAUCCCUUGGCUCAUGGACCCCUUCCUCUUUCUUCAAAGUCAGCAACAUCAUUUCUCUCUGACCCUUCUUCAUGGUCCUCUCUCCCUCUGACUCUGAACUCAGCCAGGAAUGGUUCGUGGAUUUCAAGGACCCUUGUGACUAUAUUUAGUGUCCUCCCAGGUGUACUAGGAUCAUCUUCCCAUUUCAAGGUUUUUAACUUUAUUACAUCUGCACAGUCCCUUUAUCCACAUAAGGGGACAUAUUCAUGGGUCCUGGGGACUAACGUGGGGCAUCUUUAGGGUGCCUUGAUUCUGCCUAUUGCAAUAUCUCAUCACAGAGACUCAGUGGCUCCCCACACAGCUGCAGCCACCAAGCCCAGCACCUCUCUCUCUCCUCUUCAUUGCACAGCUGAACAGAAUGCACAGUGAACAACGUCUUACUCCUUGUGCGAAGAGCUGCUGCAUGAUGAUUUGAAUGCAGGAUAAAAACCACACACUCCCAGCAAACACCGUGCCUUCCCCUUGGUUCAAGGAUGACACUAUUGUUCCCAUCACAUUCAAACAUGUGCAUUUGGAAGAUGUCUCCAUUUCUAGAUCCUUUAUUGUCAGGGAAUAUGAAUUCUCAAGUGCAAGAGAAAUUCAGUUCUGCCAGGUCUAUUAGCCCUUAUGUGCAUUUAAGGAGCCUGAUGUGUCAGGGUUGACACAAUGAACUCCAAGGACACUGCUCAAAAUGGCCCCUCCAACUGGGCACAGCUCUGUACCAGGAACAGUGCCAAUGAGCAUGUGUAUUUGUGUGUUUUUAUACCCAAGUGCUGUAAAAGAAGGCGGUCUGCUUAAAGACUUACAGUUCCAAAGAAGGCAAAUGUAAGGGCAAAAUUCAUGAUGCUCUGUCACCUUGAGCUUCAGCUUCCUGCCUUGUUGAUGAGGAAAAUGAUCCCUACUAAGCCGGGUGUUGUAAAUAGUAGGCAAUAUCAUAAAACCCCUAGCAAGAUGCACUACAUACAAGGCAAUGAAGAAAAAGUGGCUACUUUUUCUUCACUUUUGUUUGUUCUCUGAUCUGUGCAAUUAUUUGUACCAAAUAUACUUGAAGUAUGAAGUUGGUGGCUAUUGUCACAAAGGUAACAAAACCUGCUUUUAAGAGACUUGGAGUUUAUCAAAGGUUACAUGUAGACAGAAUGAGGCCCAGUAGACUUUUCACCAGGAAGGCAGACUUUGUCCUGGGCCUUGGAAGAUUGCAAAGAGAGGAAGAAAGAAAAAGUUUCUCCUUACACUGGGAAAAGUUCAUGCAAAGGCAGAGAGGAAGAGCAGAGCCCGAGAUGUUCAAGACAGGGCUAGUGUGUAGCAAGUAAGUGAUGUGGACACACACAGCCAGUUUUCCUGCUGGUUUACCAGGUAAAAUCAAAAGACCCUCAUGCCAGCCAGGCGCAGUGGCUCACUCCUGUAAUCCCAGAACUUUGGGAGGCCAAGGCGGGCAGAUCACGAGGUCAGGAGAUCGAGACCAUCCUGGCCAACACGGUGAAACCCCGUCUCUACUAAAAAUACAAAAAAUUAGCCGGACGUGGUGGCAGGUGCCUGUAGUCCCAGCUACUUGGGAGGCUGAGGCAGGAGAAUGGCGUGAACCUGGGAGGUGUAGCUUGCAGUGAGCAGAGAUCCAGCCACUACACUCCAGCCUGGCCGACAGAGGGACUCCGUCUGAAAAAAAAAAAAAAAAGAGAAAAAAAGAAAAAAAAAAGGCCCUCAUGCCUACUCUCACCACCUCCAAAUACCCGAGUUGAAGGUAGAAUGUUCUGGCCUUGAAUCAGGAGAGCUAUUCCAAAGCACCUGUUGUACAAGAAGCACACUUCUCAGACUUUGGCAAGAAAAAGUCUUCCUGCCCUUUUAAAUAGUCUUUGUGAUGGUUAAUAUUAAGUGUCAACUUGAUUGGAUUGAAGUAUGCAAAGUAUUAUUUCUGGGCAUAUCUGGGUAUUUCUGGGUGUUGCCAAAAGAGGUGAACAUUUGAGUCAGUGGCCUGGGAGAAGAAGACCCACCCUCAGGAAGACCCACCCACAACAUGGGUAGCACCAUCCAGUCGGCUGCUAGUGUGGCUAGUAAAAGCAGGCAUGGUUGGGCGCAGUGGCUCAUGCCUGUAAUCCCAGGACUUCGGGAGGUCAGGAGUUCAAGACCAGCUUGGCUAACAUGGUGAAGCCUCAUCUCUACAAAAAUACAAAAGUUAGCCAGGCAUAAUGGUGGGUGCCUGUAAUCCAAGCUACUCAGGAGGCUGAGGUGGGAGAAUUGCUUGAACCCUGGAGAUGGAGCUUGCAGUGAGCCGAGUUAGUGCCAUUGCACUACAGCUUGGGUGACAGAGCAAGACUCCGUCUCAAAUAAAUAAAUAAAUAAUAAAAAUAAAGUAAAAACAGGCAGGAGAAAUGGGAGAAGAUGACUUAGAUCACCUCCUGAGUCUUCCAGCCUUCAUCUUUCUCCUAUGAUGGAUACUUCCUGUCCCCGAACAUCAGAUUGCAAGUUCUUCAGCUUUUGGACUCUUGGACCUAGACCAGUGGUUUGCCAGGGACUCCUCUUGGGUCUUUGGCGUUGGCCACAGACUGAAGUCUGCACUGUCGGCUUCCCUACUUUUGAGGUUUGGGGACUUGAAUUGAGCUACUACUGGCUUCCUUGACCCUCAACUUGCAGAUGACCUGUAGUGGGACUUCACCUUGUGAUCCUGUGAGUCAAUUCUCUUUAAUAAACUCUCUUUUGUAUAUACAUAUAUCCUAUUAGUUCAGUCCCUCUAGAGGACCCUGUCUAAUAAAAUUCUCAUAUGUCCCCAACAUGGGUUACAUGUGUCAUAUGUGCCAUCUCCUGUCAUCUGCAUCACACGUGCAGAUCAUUGUGUGGUGCACAUCAUUGGCCCAAUGUUCCAGGAAAAAGCUCAAAUUCAGAGAGGCUAAGUAACCACACAGCUAGUGGUAAGUUUUUCACCAAGG
rnacentral:lncRNA from 1 species